rnacentral:rRNA from 1 species
AUAUUGGACAAUGGGGGAAACCCUGAUCCAGCCAUGCCGCGUGAGUGACGAAGGCCUUCUGGGUUGUAAAACUCUUUCGACGGGGACGAUAAUGACGGUACCCGUAGAAGAAGCUCCGGCUAACUUCGUGCCAGCAGCCGCGGUAAUACGAAGGGGGCUAGCGUUGUUCGGAAUUACUGGGCGUAAAGCGCGCGCAGGCGGCUAUCCAAGUCAGUGGUGAAAGCCCGGAGCUCAACUCCGGAACUGCCAUUGAAACUGUUUAGCUUGAGGACGAGAGAGGUGAGUGGAAUUCCCAGUGUAGAGGUGAAAUUCGUAGAUAUUGGGAAGAACACCAGUGGCGAAGGCGGCUCACUGGCUCGUAUCUGACGCUCAGGCGCGAUAGCGUGGGGAUCAAACAGG